GGAAAGGAGGGGGAGGAGGAGGGAGGAGGAGGGCGGGGAGCAGCAGCGGCUCCGGCGACGCCAAGUCCACCUCCUCAGGGGCCUCCGACAUGAGCGACUACCUGGACACCCUCAGCCUCUCGUCCUCGCACUCGUCCUCGGACCACGACCGACUGCUGGCCCGCUCUUCCGUGAACACCCUGAGGCCUCGGUCGGGCAGGGAGUACACUCGCCUGGACCGACACGGCCUGUGUACCGAGAGUAAGACGCUGCCGGUGCUGGGAGAGGCGCCCCCCCACUGAAUCCGCGGGCGUACAUGGUGCUACUUGACCAGGAGUUACUCCGGCCGAGGCUUAGGUCGCCCUCGUCAUCCUCCUCUUCCUCUUUAUCCUCUUUUCCCUCUUCUUCCUCUUUAUCCUCUCUUUCCUCUUCUUCCGGACCAGGUGCUACUUCCGGAGGCGAGGUCAGAGGUCAGGAGGAAGUGUGGCUCCCGAGUUGAGGGGUUGUUUGUUAUCUUUCUUAUCGCUGUGUUUUAGUUUCGUCUUCGGAGGUGUCCUACAACGAUUCUUAGAAAAAGGAAGAAAGAAGAAUAUAGAAAAAAAACUUACUCCCAAGAACAAAGAA